CUUGAGGUCUCAAGGACGGCAUCCUCACCACGCUAGGUGAUAAAUCUUUAAAGUCCUUAAUCAACAAAAUGCCUUACUAAAAUUAGAGUUGUAAUCCCUCAUGAAAAGAUUAAUCAUCAGUUAUAGAUAAAAACAAAACCAAGCCACCAAAAGUUAACAAAUAUAUUUAGACAGAAUGAGUAAAGAAUAAUGAAAGCCGCCAUAAGCGACCCCAAGCAAAUUUGCUUGUUUUCUUGUUAUUCGGUGACUCUAUAAGAACAUUGGAUGUGAUGAUUCCGUGCUCGGGUAUGGAGAGUCUUGCAUUAAGACUCCAUGUUAGCUUCAAGUGCACAUGCAAAAGAGAGAACAAAACAUGAAUUAGAAUGAACUUAAUUUCCGAGCAAACAUAGGAUAAAGACAUUACGAAUCAUACUAUAAACUUAUAAGCUUACAACAUAGCAGACACAUUCAUCAGGUUAGAAUGUUAUACUAUCAGAUUCAUAACACUGAUUCAAGAACAUCCUCUAACGAAGUAUUCAAGCAGAUGUUUUCUAUUAUUCUCAUUUAGAACUUAAGAUGGGGCAAUUAAAAGUUAAGCAGGGUACCUAAGGCAUGCUGUACUAAGUAAGCAAAUAAAUCUUAUAUGAUGAGAAAAUGAGUGAAUAAAUCUUAGAUGCAGUAUGUAUGUCAUUAUCAUAAUGCAAAUAAGCAUCUCUACUUCAUUGUGACAGAGAAGGCAUCAAGGAUAGUAUAGCUUGCUUAGUUUGGUCUAGCUAUUAAUACAUAAAAAUGUAUCUUAGGGAUGGAAUUCUAUACCAUAGUUCUUACAAAGAGCUUAACUUUCUAAGUGAGCUUGGGUAGAAGAACUAUCUAUAAGGCCUCUAUAGGCAUGCUAAAUAGCGAGUGUAACCUACUCAUUUACGGGACAUUCUUAGCUAAAUACUGCCAAAGGAUAUCUGAAGCUAAUUAUUUCAUUAAAACCCAUGCUCGUGAUAUUGUGCAUUUAAAAAUAAGAAGAAAGGCCUAAACAUGGUGCUUAUUAUAAAGCAAUAUACUUCCAUUAACAGAGAGAGGCCAAAAAGAGCAUAAGUUAAGGUCUCAGGUUUAUGGGGAGACCAUCAAGUUUUCUGCUAUUGUUUUAACCGAAGGAGUUUACAUAGAUUUAAAGCUAUUCAGUACUUAAGAAAUGCAGCCAUCAACAAGACUGUAUAAGCAUGCUAUUUAUGAAUAAUGUAAAUCCACAAAUUACUCGCAACAUAUUCGAUUAACUUUUGCAAUAACCUUAUAUUUGUCAUGAUUAUCUGGACAUGAAAGAACCUAAGCUCCUAUUGUUGGAAGGUAUACAGGAUACACCAACACUCUUACAGAAUGCACUCUCUUAUCUUUUCUUUUUUUAACCUUUGACAGAUAAAUAGUAAUCUGUCCACAAAUAUUACACUCCCAAAUUCUUGAGUUAAAAGAUUACUCAUUUUUACUCAUAAACGCUAUUGAAGUUCAUAAGAAAGAAGGAGCUUUUUCACAUAAUACGUUUAUCCUUAACAAGAAAUUAGAAAUGAAACAUCAGCUGAGCAUGGCAUUUACAAAAGAACAACGUUGAUCAUGUAUUAACAACAUAAAACACACAAAAUAGUUGUAUAGGCAAUUUAUCAAGCAUUUAUUAAUGGGUUUCUAGACAAACACGACUGGAAUACAAUUUCCCUAUAAACAUGACUUUUAUGUGUACAAAAUGAGUCCUAAAUCAUGAUCUCUACAUAGGAAGCGAACUACUAAUUUUCAAACAGAAAUAACUAUUUGCCUUUAACAUAAAAAAAUAAUAAUAACAGAAAGAGGAACUUAAUGUUAGAGGUCACUGACCUUUUGCAGGGCAGUAAACUGGGGUUUGCCAAUGACUACUCGAAUCUCCGCUUCAAACCUCCUUCACGACCCAAGCGACACAAUCAGACCGACAAAUCUUUGUCACGGCUGAAGGCCAACAAAGAUCUGAGAGGGGAGAAGAUGAGCAAUGAAACACGAUUUAAAGCUAUAUUUAUGGAGGAUAUGUAUGAAGUAGAAGGUAUUUCGAAAGUUUGGAGGGGAGUAGCGGCGACUAUGAGCUGGUCCGAAAUUAAGGCCAAAUGCAGGUAUUUAUAACAGCAGAUUAUAUCUAGGGCUUCUUGAGCGGGAAUUUUUCAGAUUUGAUUUUGAAAAGUAGCCGUUUGAAAUUGAAUCUCUGCCUUGGUGAUUCUCCCACAGAGAUUUCAAACGUAAUUUUGGUCUUUUAUGUUGACCAAAUUGAAGGAGAUCACAGAACGACAUGGAUCUUGAAAAGAUAAAGCAAGAGAGACAGAGAUUUACCCGAAUAUGGUACGACAAUACUCUACCAUGGCUGAAGAAUAGUUGAAUUGUUAGCCAAAAAUGGUCAUGGAGAUGGGGAAAGGCUCUGCCAUGGAAAGAGGGGGGAGAGAGCGAGAGAGAACUGUAACGUUAGUUGUGGUAAACGAGGGGGUGGGGUACCACAGGUCAAAC
rnacentral:lncRNA from 1 species